AUUGUUUUAUAUACAGUAUUACAUAAAUUUGGAAUGGUACAUAGAGGAUUAGCAUGGCUCUUGCACAAGGAUGACAUUCAAAAUGCCACUAUCAGAACUUUUUUAU